rnacentral:miRNA from 1 species
GGCUCAUGUGUCUGUCCUCUUC